GACGAACGCUGGCGGCGUGCUUAACACAUGCAAGUCGAACGGUAAGGCCCUUCGGGGUACACGAGUGGCGAACGGGUGAGUAACACGUGGGUGAUCCGCCCUGCACUUCGGGAUAAGCCUGGGAAACUGGGUCUAAUACCGGAUAGGGCCAUGCGCUUCACGGUGUGUGGUGGAAAGCUUUUGCGGUGUGGGAUGGGCCCGCGGCCUAUCAGCUUGUUGGUGGGGUAAUGGCCUACCAAGGCGACGACGGGUAGCCGGCCUGAGAGGGUGACCGGCCACACGGGGACUGAGAUACGGCCCAGACUCCUACGGGAGGCAGCAGUGGGGAAUAUUGCACAAUGGGCGCAAGCCUGAUGCAGCGACGCCGCGUGAGGGAUGACGGCCUUCGGGUUGUAAACCUCUUUCAGUAGGGACGAAGCGCAAGUGACGGUACCUACAGAAGAAGGACCGGCCAACUACGUGCCAGCAGCCGCCGUAA
rnacentral:rRNA from 1 species